rnacentral:rRNA from 1 species
GACGAACGCUGGUGGCGUGCUUAACACAUGCAGGUCGAACGGAAAGGCCCUGCUUUUGUGGGGUGCUCGAGUGGCGAACGGGUGAGUAACACGUGAGUAACCUGCCCUUGACUUUGGGAUAACUUCAGGAAACUGGGGCUAAUACCGGAUAGGAGCUCCUGCUGCAUGGUGGGGGUUGGAAAGUUUCGGCGGUUGGGGAUGGACUCGCGGCUUAUCAGCUUGUUGGUGGGGUAGUGGCUUACCAAGGCUUUGACGGGUAGCCGGCCUGAGAGGGUGACCGGCCACAUUGGGACUGAGAUACGGCCCAGACUCCUACGGGAGGCAGCAGUGGGGAAUAUUGCACAAUGGGCGGAAGCCUGAUGCAGCAACGCCGCGUGCGGGAUGACGGCCUUCGGGUUGUAAACCGCUUUCGCCUGUGACGAAGCGUGAGUGACGGUAAUGGGUAAAGAAGCACCGGCUAACUACGUG